ACUCCUGCGGGAGGCAGCAGUGGGGAAUUUUGGACAAUGGGCGAAAGCCUGAUCCAGCCAUGCCGCGUGCAGGAUGAAGGCCUUCGGGUUGUAAACUGCUUUUGUACGGAACGAAACGGCCUUUUCUAAUAAAGAGGGCUAAUGACGGUACCGUAAGAAUAAGCACCGGCUAACUACGUGCCAGCAGCCGCGGUAAUACGUAGGGUGCAAGCGUUAAUCGGAAUUACUGGGCGUAAAGCGUGCGCAGGCGGUUAUGUAAGACAGUUGUGAAAUCCCCGGGCUCAACCUGGGAACUGCAUCUGUGACUGCAUAGCUAGAGUACGGUAGAGGGGGAUGGAAUUCCGCGUGUAGCAGUGAAAUGCGUAGAUAUGCGGAGGAACACCGAUGGCGAAGGCAAUCCCCUGGACCUGUACUGACGCUCAUGCACGAAAGCGUGGGGAGCAAACAGGAUUAGAAACCCUUGUAGUCCCA
rnacentral:rRNA from 1 species